rnacentral:lncRNA from 1 species
UCCUUGUCCUCUAGGGGCUCUUCUGCAGGACGUGGGGGGAGGAGGCUGUGGUGCUGUGUCCUUCCCUGCUUCAGGCAGGGAGCAAGGUGUGAACACACCAGGGUAGGCACCAUGUCACCCCGCCCACUGACCCCUACUGUGUGCCUUUUCUUUGGGUUCAUUGUCUAUCAAUGGGCUGACAUCACCCUGCUGGACUGCCCCAGGGAUGGGCACUGUGGGAGGUGCCGUGCUGUCCUGCGCAGAGGCUCUGUGCCACAGGUGGGCUUCCCGUCGUGAGGAGCCAGCCUGAAGUUCAGCAGAGGGACUAGGAGUUGGGUGGGGACCCUGGGGGCAGGGUCAGGCCCAGGACAUUCCUGAGCAUCCUCACUGUGCUGGAAUCAGCCAGGGCAGAGGCUGGGGCGCCCGAGGUGGGUGUGAACCCCGUUGUCCUCAUGAACACACGUGAGGCUGGACAGGAGAGGCCUGGGGGCUCCAGGACAGCUGCAGCUCUCCAUCCAGAUGCUGCUGUGGGCCUCCUCCCACCCUCUGGUCCCCAUCCCCUGGGGGCUGGAGGCAGCUUGGGUCACUAAGGAGAUGUGUGGGUGUCCUGGGCAAGGCUCCUUCUCCGUGGGCCUCGACCACCCCUUUGGACAAGGAGGGAGGAGGCUAGACCCUCCACUGCUGAGCUUGCCCCUGCACCCUACGUGUGGGCACAGCCCAGUCUACCCCCGUCCUGGGCAGAGAGUUUGCUAGCCUGGGUGGGAACUAGGAUUUGAGACAGGCUGACUCCCAGGUGAGGGGGACAGCCCCCCUCAAAUAGGCAGCCAGUUCCAGCCAUGCUGAUGGUGGGUAGUGACCUCAUCUUCAUGAGGCCCAGAGUGCUGCCCAGGCCAUGCUGAGCCAGGGCCUCCUCUGCCCCCAGCCACCAUCAGCCCUGCACCUGUGCUGCAGACCGGCCUGCCCACUGUGGGCCUGGGGUCGUUGCACGUGCCCGGGCCUGUGAGCCCUGGCGAGUUGGAGGCUGCUGCCCUCUGACCUGGACCCCUGUCAGGAAGUGUGGGAUGGGCCCCAGCUGAGAUGCCUCCUUCCUCUAGCCGGUGCAGAGGCUCCGACCCCUGCCAGGCCAACUGCACAGACACCUGCCUCCUCCAGGGUCCUGGGUCCUGGCCAUGGCCCUGGGGCCCGGCAUCCCCUGACCAUGGCCUCUGCUCCAGCUCCUCUCCUCCAGCCCACGGCUGCCCCCUACCCUGGUCCCCUUCGCAGCACCAGCC